CCAGACUCCUACGGGAGGCAGCAGUGGGGAAUAUUGGACAAUGGGGGGAACCCUGAUCCAGCGACGCCGCGUGAGUGAAGAAGUAUUUCGGUAUGUAAAGCUCUAUCAGCAGGGAAGAAAGAAAUGACGGUACCUGACUAAGAAGCCCCGGCUAACUACGUGCCAGCAGCCGCGGUAAUACGUAGGGGGCACGCGUUAUCCGGAUUCACUGGGUGUAAAGGGAGCGUAGACGGCGACGCAAGUCUGGAGUGAAAGCCCGGGGCCCAACCCCGGGACUGCUCUUGGAACUGCAUGGCUGGAGUACAGGAGGGGCAGGCGGAAUUCCUAGUGUAGCGGUGAAAUGCGUAGAUAUUAGGAGGAACACCGGUGGCGAAGGCGGCCUGCUGGACUGUGACUGACGUUGAGGCCCGAAGGCGUGGGGAGCAAACAGGAUUAGAUACCCCAGUA
rnacentral:rRNA from 1 species